GGGGGGGGGGGGGGGGGGGGGGGGGGGGUGGAGGGGGGGGGGGGGGGGGGUGGUGGGGGGGGGUGGUGGGGUGGGGAGGGGGUGAGUGAGGCGUGGGUAGCGUGCCCUUUACUUUGGGAUGAGUUCAGGAAGCGGGGGCUAAGACCGGAUCGGAGCUCCUGCUGCAUGGUGGGGGUUGGAAAGUUUGGGCGGGUGGGGAUGGACUCGCGGGUUAUCAGCUUGUUGGGGGGGUAGUGGCUGACGAAGGGUUUGCCUGGUAGCCGGCCUGAGUGGGUGAACUGCCACAUUUGUACUGAGAUACGGCCCAUACUCCUACGGGAGGCAGCAGUGGAGAAUAUUGCAAAAUGGGCGGAAGCCUGAUGCAGCAACGCCGCGUGCUGGAUGACGGCCUUCGGGUUGUAAACCGCUUUCGCCUGUGACGAAGCGUGAGUGACGGUAAUGGGUAAAGAAGCACCGGCUAACUACAUG
rnacentral:rRNA from 1 species